UACAGAGGGGGCAAGCGUUAUUCGGAAUUAUUGGGCGUAAAGGGCGCGUAGGCGGCUUUGCAAGUGGCGGGUGAAAUCCCUCGGCUUAACCGAGGAACUGCCUGCCAGACUGUGAGGCUUGAGACCGGGAGAGGCGAGUGGAAUUCCUGGUGUAGCGGUGAAAUGCGCAGAUAUCAGGAGGAACACCAAUGGCGAAGGCAGCUCGCUGGGACGUGACUGACGCUGAGACGCGAAAGCGUGGGGAGCAAACAGG
rnacentral:rRNA from 1 species